UACGUAGGGUGCGAGCGUUAAUCGGAAUUACUGGGCGUAAAGCGUGCGUAGGCGGUUCGCUGUGUCCGAUGUGAAAGCCCCGGGCUUAACCUGGGAAUGGCAUUGGAAACUGGCGGGCUUGAGUGUGGCAGAGGGGGGUGGAAUUCCGCGGUGUAGCAGUGAAAUGCGUAGAGAUGCGGAGGAACACCGAUGGCGAAGGCAGCCCCCCUGGGUUAACACUGACGCUCAGGCACGAAAGCGUGGGGAGCAAACAGG
rnacentral:rRNA from 1 species